rnacentral:lncRNA from 1 species
GAUCUCCUCUACACGGAAGCGUCGGCCCCUUUCCUGGCCAGCUACAUCCUGGGCCUCCGCACUUCAGAGCUGUGUGUUGGAACCGGGAGAACUCAGAGCUCCUCCCGGGAACGCGGCUGCCGGCUCAGGAGCUUGCUUGGCGUCGCCGUCGAGCUCGGGAGCUCUGCUGGGAAUCCGGGGUUCAGCGGCGCCCCAGGCUCCCGCUCGCUGCGCACCCCGCACCGCCACCGCGCGCGCCUCUCCGCGCGUCCACGGGGGCGCGGGGCCACCCUCACCUCUCCGGCCCGCGCGGUGGCGGAGGCCUCCAGGGAGCGUCCCCGGGGCAGUGACAGCCGCGCCCCCGCGCCUUCCGGGCUCCGGCCGCGGCCUCGGACUCCAUGGUGCCAGCGGAGCCCGCGCCCCCUGCUGCGGCGCCGGCCUCCGAGCGCGCCUGGAUCCACUCGGGCUAGCGCGCUCACCUACCCGCGCGCCAGGUUUAAAAACGGGGGCGGGGCGGCGCGGGCAACCACCGGGAGGGGGCAGGACCCGAGGAGCUCCGGGAAGGGUGCUGAGGGGGCCGCAGAGCGCAGAGGGAAAGCCCGGGGCGGAGGAGCGGAGAGGUCCAGAAAAGUUCCGGGAGGGGACCAGGGAGCCGGGAAUGGGGAGGGGACGAGAAAAGCUCGAGGAGGUGGCGCCGGGUGUCAAAGAGGGGAGUCCGGCAGCCCCGGGCAAGGGUGGGGACGGGACAAAGAAAAGCCGGGGAGGGGGCACCAGGGAAAGGGUGACCAGAGUAGGGAGGUACCAGAGAUUGGGGCCACGGGCUCGGGCUGGAGACAGCGGGAAGUGACCCAAGGACGCGGGAGAGGAAAGCGAGGCCCGCGGGCGAGGGGCGUUUCCGUCGGGCGCACUCCCUCGGGGACUGAGGGGACCCGCGCUCACCCGCUGGGCUUCCCCUGCCGGAUGUGGGAUGUGAGGAGUCCCGGCUUCUCCGUCCCUCCGUGGUCCCCGCGGCCUCGGGCUUUGGUCCUGUGCGAGCAUCAGGUUCCCUGGGUUUCUGGGGAAUCUCGCUUCUACCGCCUUAGAGCGGCCACGGGGCUUGGGGGACAUCCACUGAAUCCUCAGGUCCGCUUGGACCGACCUUGCCUUCGGUGCUGGACAGCGGGCUCCCGGACGCCCGGACGCCAGGACUCGAACCCGUGGCGAAGCGGGUGGGGUGGAGCGCGGCGACCCUUCCAGGAGACAGAAUGCCAGGGAUGGAACCGAGCAAGAGGGAUGCUACGAGCACACCUUUCCCACCCUUGGCGGCCUUGGAAAGCAAGCGAAUUUUUAAUAAAGCCGGGAGCGGCGGGCUUCUCCUUCGGUUAG